ensembl:snRNA
GUGUUGUAUGAAAGGAGAGAAGGUUAGCAUUCCCCUUGACAAGGAUGGAAGAGGCCCUUGGGCCUGACAACACACAUAUGGUUAAGGCAUUGCCACCGACUUCGUGGCCUCUAACCAUUUUUUUUC